GUUGAACUGAGGAGUGUCAUUGGGAAGAGAAGAGGCAAGAGGAGAAGGUGAGAUUGCAGAUACGGUGAGUACAUCUGUCAACCCAUUUACUUUUGGUAUUAGCCAUCUGUGACACACCUAGAAUACCAGGUGCUCAGGCUUCUACUGAGAAAGAACACUUAGUCCUUGCCUUUAAGAAGCUGACAUUUAAACGUUAUCUCUCAGAUGGUGGGCAAAGGUGACCAAGUAAUAGAACAGUUAGUUUUGCAAUAGUUCCUGACAAGUUCUACCUGUCUGUGGAGGCAACGUGUGAAGACACAGCAAAACGCAGUGGGGAAGAAGGGACAUUCUCAAUCAACACAUAUCACAUUCCUUCACGACACUGAUGAUGAGGAGAAAGUAUCUUUUUUUUUUUUUUUUUCAAAAUGCUUUUACUAGUACUGUCUUAUUCCACUGUAAGAGGCUGAUAGAUAUACUUCUUUCACAGAUGAGGGGAAAAGAGUCACAGAGAGAUCACAUUAUCAUCGUUCUCAUCAGCCCUGAGCUAAUAAGCCAGUCAGUACUGUGUUCCCCUGCUGGUAAAGCUGGAGACCAACGCUGCUUACCAUGGUAAAGCGCUCCCUGCAGCAGACCAUGCAGACGCUUGCACUCUCGUCGGGCACCCACUGAUGCCUGCCAGGGGGUGUUGCUGGGGGGACAAACUCUGGGGGGGGCUGAUUCUCUGGGAAGCUCCUCUCCCUUGGACUGGGGGAACGUACAGUGGAGACACCUGGGAGUCAGAACGAAAGUCAGAGUAAAAGGUGAUCAAUAGUCCAGCUAAUAAAGGAAGGAGGAAUUAGAAAAUUAUAAUUUCUCCAUGUUUCAAACCCCUACUGAAGUUAUAUAUCCAGCCAAUGGUCAUCAGUGGCUGACUGUGUCAUAGAGAGAUACCAGGCAUUGAGUGUCUCCUGAUGGCAGGCAUACAAAUACCUAUCAAAUACACUUAUCAGAAAAUAUUAAGCCUAAAUGAAAUCAAGCUUCUAUAUCUACCUACGAGUGUACUGGAAAUACAGGGGACGGAGACCCAGACUGCAGGGUGGCAAUCAGCAAAACCUAACGUGUGAGAAGCUCUACAGGACAAAUGACCUAGUUUCCUCCACAAAUAAAAAAGAGGCAGGGAAACCAAUUGAUGAAAAGAGAUUUAAGAGGUAUUUUAGCUAAAUACCAUAUAUGGACAUUAUUUAGAUCUUAAUUCUAGAAAAAUCAAUUCUAAAAAAAACAUUGAGACAACUGGGGAAAUGAUAAUAACAAGAAAUCAUUAAUUUGUUUUUAGGCAUGAUAAUGAUCUUAUGGUUUUGCUUUAUAAAUAUCCUUACCUUUUAGAGACAUAUACUGAUAUAUUCAUAAACAUAAUCAUAUGAUAUCUAGGAUCUGCUUCAAAAUAAUCCAGUAGAGGGUCAAGGGUAUAAUGGAACAAGAGUGACCAUCAUGAGAUGAUAAUUAUUGUAGUUGGGCCAUAGGUAUGUGAGACUUCAUUACAUUAUUCUACUUUAGAGUUUUGGAAAAUGUCCACAAUAAAAAACUAAAAAAAAAGGGUAAACCAAAGCUGCUCAGGCUGCCAUACGCAGAUGCAUGAGGCUGUUCAUAAAACUGUAAGUCUGCGCCUUUCCCUCAGGUCUGCUGGUUACUGUACAGCAUGGCUAAUUUUUAAAGUAUGGCCAUGAAAUGCCACAGUCUUUGCUCUAUGGUAUUCAAGGAAACUUCUUGUCCCUAGCAGAGCAAUGUUGGCAGGUCACGGAAAAAGAGAACUGAAAAAUACAGUGACUCUGGGCAGUGCUCAAAAAUCUCUCCCUGGAAUCCCAGUCCCUUAAUCGUUGGCAAAACAAACACUUGCUGAACUUCUUCUGAGGAGGGCAGGCCAUUGAGCAAGGGGCCAGAAACUGUGGGAAAGGAGGCGUGGUGAAAAGGGGUCAUCAGACAUGGCUGAGGCCUUCAAGGAGACUGCAUCCUGUGUAGGAGACAUAAAUGACAAACUGCAGCAUAGGACUAAAUACAGUCUAUCAUCCCCAUUAGUGACGUCUGUAUUUGUCCAUUUUGCCAGUCACCAAAAUUUAUCUGUAACCUCAAAAUCAGUAUUUGCAGUGCCUUUGUAGACACGGGCAGAGUGGCGAAUGAUGUGAGUCACCUGACAUGCCGGUUUCCAUCUGAGGUUGAACAAGGUGACAUUCUGCUUUCUUAUUUCAGCUCUCAUACAGAGGUGACCAGAGGAUGGAGAUGGUAGGGGACAGUGUGGUGUAGUGCCAGAAUCUCUGGCUCUUGGGCUAGUGGGACAGGGUCUGAAUCCCAAACACUCAUUAGGCACUCAUUAGUGGGCAUGCCUCAGGUGAGUCACUCUAACACUUCUAGACCUCUUUUUCUCUUUGGUAAAAUAAAGAAAAUAAAAUCUACUAGGGUGAAUGGUUUUCAAUUUAAGAUUAUAAUCUAAGUGACACACACACACAUACAUACACUUUCCCCAGGAGCAAUGGUCUAGUAUUUGCUAAUUCAGGGUUUGCAGAGAUCUUCUAGAAAUACUACUGUAAGUAAAAAAAAUCAACUGUUAAAUUUUCUGGGAUAUAGCUGGAAUGGACAAAGGAAAACAAUGAAUAAGAAUGCUGUAACUGAAGGGGGCACCUGGGUGGCUCAGUUGGUUGAGCGUCAGGCUCUUGAUUUUGGCUCAGGUCAUGAUCCCGUGGUUUGUGAGAUCAAGCCCCACAUUGGGCUCUGUGCUCAUAGUGUAGGGCCAGCUUGGGAUUCUCUCUCUUCCUCUCUCUCUGCCUUUCCACACCCCUGCCCAAUAAAUAAAUGAACUUAAAAAAAAAAAAAAAAAGAA